rnacentral:rRNA from 1 species
AUUGAACGCUGGCGGCAGGCCUAACACAUGCAAGUCGAGCGAGCGGCGGACGGGUGAGUAAUGUAUGGGGACUGCCCGAUAGAGGGGGAUAACUACUGGAAACGGUGGCUAAUACCGCAUACUAUCGGAUAACCCAUAUGGGAUUAGCUAGUAGGUGGGGUAAAGGCUCACCUAGGCGACGAUCUCUAGCUGGUCUGAGAGGAUGAGCAGACACACUGUGACUGAGACACGGCCGAGACUUCUGCGGAGGGAGAAGGGGGGAAUAGUGCACAGGGGGCGCACGCCAUAGGGAGACAUGCCGAGUGUAAAAAGUAGGCUUUGGGGUUAAAAGAUACGUUCAGCGGGGAGGUGUUACCCGGAGAAGAAGCACCGGCUAACUGCGUGCGAGCCGCCGCUGUAAU